AGUGAACGCUGGCGGUAGGCCUAACACAUGCAAGUCGAACGGCAGCACAGUAAGAGCUUGCUCUUACGGGUGGCGAGUGGCGGACGGGUGAGGAAUACAUCGGAAUCUACUUUUUCGUGGGGGAUAACGUAGGGAAACUUACGCUAAUACCGCAUACGACCUACGGGUGAAAGAAGGGGAUCUUCGGACCUUGCGCGAUUGAAUGAGCCGAUGACGGAUUAGCUAGUUGGCGGGGUAAAGGCCCACCAAGGCGACGAUCCGUAGCUGGUCUGAGAGGAUGAUCAGCCACACUGGAACUGAGACACGGUCCAGACUCCUACGGGAGGCAGCAGUGGGGAAUAUUGGACAAUGGGCGCAAGCCUGAUCCAGCCAUACCGCGUGGGUGAAGAAGGCCUUCGGGUUGUAAAGCCCUUUUGUUGGGAAAGAAAAGCAGCAGGUUAAUACCCCGCUGUUCUGACGGUACCCAAAGAAUAAGCACCGGCUAACUUCGUG
rnacentral:rRNA from 1 species